rnacentral:rRNA from 1 species
GACGAACGCUGGCGGCGUGCUUAACACAUGCAAGUCGAACGGAAAGGCCCUGCUUUUGUGGGGUGCUCGAGUGGCGAACGGGUGAGUAACACGUGAGUAACCUGCCCUUGACUUUGGGAUAACUUCAGGAAACUGGGGCUAAUACCGGAUAGGAGCUCCUGCUGCAUGGUGGGGGUUGGAAAGUUUCGGCGGUUGGGGAUGGACUCGCGGCUUAUCAGCUUGUUGGUGGGGCAGUGGCUUACCAAGGCUUUGACGGGUAGCCGGCCUGAGAGGGUGACCGGCCACAUUGGGACUGAGAUACGGCCCAGACUCCUACGGGAGGCAGCAGUGGGGAAUAUUGCACAAUGGGCGGAAGCCUGAUGCAGCAACGCCGCGUGCGGGAUGACGGCCUUCGGGUUGUAAACCGCUUUCGCCUGUGACGAAGCGUGAGUGACGGUAAUGGGUAGAGAAGCACCGGCUAACUACGUG